AAGUCGUAACAAGGUCUUCGUAGGUGAACCUGCGGAGGGAUCAUUACCGAGUUAGGGUCCUCAUCGGGCCCGACCUCCCAACCCAUUGUUUAUGAUACCUAGUGUUGCUUCGGUAGGCCUGGUCUAUCUGUUAUAGACCUGCCGGGGGGCCGUAAGACGCCCGCCGGAGAGUGCCUACCGACAGCCUCAACUCCAAAAUUCUUUAACCAAACGUGUCUUUGUCUGAGUAACGUCUUUUAAAAUAAAGCAAA
rnacentral:misc_RNA from 1 species